rnacentral:misc_RNA from 1 species
UCCCCGUUGGCCGGGGCAGUCUCGCCUGAAAAAUCCAACAGACGACAAGGGUUGCGCUCGUUGCGGGACUUAACCCAACAUCUCACGACACGAGCUGACGACGGCCAUGCAGCACCUGUCACCAGUCCAGCCGAACUGACUCUCUUGUUUCCAAGAGAUACGACUGGGAUGUCAAGCCUUGGUAAGGUUCUUCGCGUAUCUUCGAAUUAAACCACAUGCUCCACCGCUUGUGCGGGUCCCCGUCAAUUCCUUUGAGUUUUAGCCUUGCGGCCGUACUCCCCAGGCGGGAUACUUAACGCGUUAGCUUCUUAGCACAGAGGGUCGAUACUCCAUACUAACAGUAUCCAUCGUUUACGGCGUGGACUAC